GCCCAGCUAGCUCAGUCGCUAGAUCAUGGGACUCUUAAUCCCAGGGUCAUAGGUUCAAGCCCUAUGUUGGGUG